GCCUUCGUGGUGUAGUGGUCUACACACUCGACGCCUAUCCGAGAGGUCCGUGGUUCGAUUCCCUGCGAAGGCG